AAUACAGGAGCCCUGCUAAAUUUGAAUUUCAAAUAAACUACAAGUUAUCAUUUAGUAUCAGCAUGUCUCAUGCAAUAUUUGGGACAGACUUGUGCUAAAAAAAUAACCCGCUGUUUAUCUGAAAUUUAAAUUUAACUGGGUUUCUGUAUUUU
rnacentral:miRNA from 1 species